rnacentral:rRNA from 1 species
GAUGGACGCUGGCGGCGUGCCUAAUACAUGCAAGUCGAGCGAAUGGAUUAAGAGCUUGCUCUUAUGAAGUUAGCGGCGGACGGGUGAGUAACACGUGGGUAACCUGCCCAUAAGACUGGGAUAACUCCGGGAAACCGGGGCUAAUACCGGAUAACAUUUUGAACCGCAUGGUUCGAAAUGGAAAGGCGGCUUCGGCUGUCACUUAUGGAAGGACCCGCGUCGCAUUAGCUAGUUGGUGAGGUAACGGCUCACCAAGGCAACGAUGCGUAGCCGACCUGAGAGGGUGAUCGGCCACACUGGGAGUGAGACACGGCCCAGACUCCUACGGGAGGCAGCAGUAGGGAAUCUUCCGCAAUGGACGAAAGUCUGACGGAGCAACGCCGCGUGAGUGAUGAAGGCUUUCGGGUCGUAAAACUCUGUUGUUAGGGAAGAACAAGUGCUAGUUGAAUAAGCUGACACCUUGACGGUACCUAACCAGAAAGCCACGGCUAACUACGUGCCAGCCGCCGCAGUAA